AGACUCUGACUCUUUUCUGUCCUCAAGAAUUUACAAUAUCCCUCUAAAAUAUUCCAAGAUGUCUCACUGACAUCUUUGUCUCUGUGUAUUCAGACAUCCUGUCUCCGGGUUUUUUGGGGUUUAUGGCCUCUUCCAUCCUGACAGUUUUCCUGAGCUUCUCACCCCUUCCUUUGUUCAGAGAAGAGAUAUUUAAGAAGUUGGGGUUCCUCCAUUCAUUGCUGGAGGCUGGCGGCUGGACGCUGGAUUCUUUGAGAAGACAGUCUCCUCCAGCCCUGGGACCAACAUGGAUUCCUUGGGCCCAGUAUAUCUUUAUCUCUGUCUGACUGGAUAAUUUGAGCCGAGAGUCCUGUCCAGUCAAUCUUACUCUCCCAUUAAUAAAAUAUUAAAAACUCUCUAAGCUCUCUCCCGCCUCAGUUUCUCCGGCAUUACAGUGGAAAAGCCAAACACACAGACAGAUCCCAAUCAUAGACAGGAGGAGGACUGGAAGAGACCUCAGGGGUCACGCGCUUCAACUCUUUCCCCACUUUACAGACAAGGAAAUGGAGACCCCGGAACUUCACACUCACGUGAUUGGAGGAUGUCUUCGGGAAACUCCAGAAGUAGUGGAUAAGGAUAUCCCGAGGAACAGUGUCAUUCACAUGCCAAGUUAAAUAGAAAACAAGACAGACGAGUCGCAUUCGAGUUGUGUGUGAACUCUCCAGGGAGCUGUGUGAUCACUGCUUUCAACACCAAGGUCUACAAAGUGCUGCAAAAUAAAGAAAAUAGAACUCAAUCAGCAAAUGACUAUAUAAUAAUAAACUCAAUAUACCGUUAUGCCA